rnacentral:misc_RNA from 1 species
GAUUACUAUAUUGACAUAUAUGUGGAUUCGAUCGAGAAACAUACUCCAUAUAGGAACACAGUAAGAGUAGAAGAAAUUUAAUGAUAAGUUGAGUCAAAAUCUAAGAUAAAUUUGUGAACAUUUCUGGAAUAAUUUUAUAUGGAGCGGGUGUACAUGAAGGCGCAUCAACAUACCUUCAAUUGUCAACAAGAUCAUCAAAAGUUGGGUUAACUUCAAGUUGAGCUGCAAACUUCUCAAGGAUCUCCUUCAGAAAAACCAUGAAUUCGUCCUCCUUUGAUGUUUUUGCAUCAGUGUUUCCAUUCUCUACAGCACCUAAUACGGUAUCGUACAGAAGAAUCACCACUUCAUCAUUCAGAGGUGGCAAGCCCAAUGAUGCUCCAUUUUUCUCGAGAUAGUGUCGAAUGACAUCUUUUGUACUUAGACCGUCUUUCUCUUCCUCCUGCAUUAUCUUAUCUACUGUCUCGCUUAGUUGCUUUUCAUCAGUCAAAAUCAUUCUCAAUUUGGAACCAUUAUUGAUCUUGAUUUUCUGCAACACAACCAUAGGGUUCUCAGAAAGAACAUCUGCCAGCUCCUGAAGCACAGGUUGUAGUAAAUGCGCGAAUUGGGCUUGCCCCAAUUCAUCCUCUCCUUCAGCUCCAUGUUUCUUUAAAAUGUCACUUAGUAGAGGAAACUCUGAAAGAGGUGGGAUUCCCAUUUCGACACCCAUGUGAAAAAGAGCAUCCUGUAUUUGAUUUCUUUUGAUCUUUCCUCUAUCUUCUGUGUCUAAAUCUGUGAAAAGAUUCUCAGCCAACAUGGCAAAGUCAUCUUCAUCUUCCAAAAACAGUUGAAGAGUUUUUCCAUCCAAAAUUGCAAUGACUAUAGGAUCAUCUUGGAGUUCAUUCGCAAUAGCGUCGACGUAUUUCCGAAGCACAGACAAGGCGUUUUCACGAUCGAGAUUUUCACGGCGGAAUUCAAGGUCAUCGGAGACGCCGAUGCGUUUAAGAGCGGCGGACUUGAGCGUGUCCGGCAAUGAGAAGCCGAAGAGUGAUUCUGAAACUUUAGAUUCUGCGACAUCAAGAAGCUGAGCACCGGUGACUGAACUGUCGACCGUCGACGGUAACGAUAGAUCAACGGCUCUGAGCUGUGUUCCGUCCAAAAUCGUCAAUCCUCCG